AUGCUGACGAGUGGCGGACGGGUGAGUAACGCGUAGGAAUCUACCUAGUAGUGGGGGAUAGCUCGAGGAAACUCGAAUUAAUACCGCAUAAUACCUAAGGGUGAAAGUGGGGGAUCUUCGGACCUCACGCUAUUAGAGGAGCCUGCGUAAGAUUAGCUAGUUGGUGGGGUAAAGGCCCACCAAGGCGACGAUCUUUAGCUGGUCUGAGAGGAUGAUCAGCCACACUGGAACUGAGACACGGUCCAGACUCC
rnacentral:rRNA from 1 species